UAGUAACUGGGGGAAUAGGCUCCCGUGAAAGGGGAAUUAACACCGCAUAACACUAUUGAUUCGCAUGGAUUGGUAGUUAAAGUGUAGCGAUACAGGUUAUAGAUGGGCAUGCGUGACAUUAGCUAGUUGGUGAGGUAACGGCUCACCAAGGCUACGAUGUCUAGGGGUUCUGAGAGGAAGGUCCCCCACACUGGUACUGAGACACGGACCAGACUCCUACGGGAGGCAGCAGUGAGGAAUAUUGGUCAAUGGGCGCAAGCCUGAACCAGCCAUGUCGCGUGCAGGAAGACUCGCCCUAUGGGUUGUAAACUGCUUUUAUAGUAGAAGAAACACAUCUACGUGUAGAUGUCUGCCAGUAUACUAUGAAUAAGCAUCGGCUAACUCCGUGCCAGCCGCUGC
rnacentral:rRNA from 1 species